rnacentral:rRNA from 1 species
AUUGAACGCUGGCGGCAGGCUUAACUCAUGCAAGUCGAGCGGGGGAAGGUAGCUUGCUACCGGACCUAGCGGCGGACGGGUGAGUAAUGCUUAGGAAUCUGCCUAUUAGUGGGGGACAACAUCUCGAAAGGGAUGCUAAUACCGCAUACGUCCUACGGGAGAAAGCAGGGGAUCUUAGGACCUGGCGCUAAUAGAUGAGCCUAAGUCGGAUUAGCUAGUUGGUGGGGUAAAGGCCUACCAAGGCGACGAUCUGUAGCGGGUCUGAGAGGAUGAUCCGCCACACUGGGACUGAGACACGGCCCAGACUCCUACGGGAGGCAGCAGUGGGGAAUAUUGGACAAUGGGGGGAACCCUGAUCCAGCCAUGUCGCGUGUGUGAAGAAGGCCUUAUGGUUGUAAAGCACUUUAAGCGAGGAGGAGGCUACUUUAGUUAAUACCUAGAGAUAGUGGACGUUACUCGCAGAAUAAGCACCGGCUAACUCUGUGCCAGCCGCCGCCGUAAGAC